GACGAACGCUGGCGGCGUGCCUAAUACAUGCAAGUAGAACGCACAGUUUAUACCGUAGCUUGCUACACCAUAGACUGUGAGUUGCGAACGGGUGAGUAACGCGUAGGUAACCUGCCUGGUAGCGGGGGAUAACUAUUGGAAACGAUAGCUAAUACCGCAUAAUAUUGAUUAUUGCAUGAUAAUUGAUUGAAAGAUGCUAUUGCAUCACUACCAGAUGGACCUGCGUUGUAUUAGCUAGUAGGUGAGGUAACGGCUCACCUAGGCGACGAUACAUAGCCGACCUGAGAGGGUGAUCGGCCACACUGGGACUGAGACACGGCCCAGACUCCUACGGGAGGCAGCAGUAGGGAAUCUUCGGCAAUGGACGAAAGGCUGACCGAGCAAAGCCGCGUGAGGGAAGAAGGGUUUCGGAUCGUAAAGCUCUGUUGUAAGAGAAGAACGGGUGUGAGAGUGGAAAGUUCACACUGUGACGGUAUCUUACCAGAAAGGGACGGCUAACUACGUG
rnacentral:rRNA from 1 species